rnacentral:lncRNA from 12 species
GCUGAAUCAAUGGCAUAGUGAUGCGUGAGUUUUUAGAAUUUGGAGUGUUGACUGUCUCCACCUGCCGCCUGUGGCCUUGUGUGUUUCCCUCCCUGGCAGCUGGGGCAGCCAGAGCAAAGCAAACAGACACUGGAGGACAAAGUACCAGAGGAGCGUCUCUCUGGGCCUGCCCUGGUUCUAAAGACCUGCAAAACAGAAGGAAAAUCCGACCCAGGGCCUCUCCGCCAGACCAUGUUCUGCCCUUUCUCAGUCUCCGUAGCGUGAAAUCCACCUCUUCUGCACUCCUGCGGCCUCUGUCCACAUUCUUUGAUUCGAAGACUCUUAAGGUCAGUGGGAAAUUUCAGAUUGAAUCCCACAGCCCCUGGGUCCUUGCAGUUUUCCUCGGUGAGGUGUGGUGGCCGUGGAGGUGGACGAGUGAAGGCUUGAGGAGAACCCCAAGAUUUCCUCGGUCAUUCAAUUAGAGAAACUCCCAUUCAUCCCUUGCUGUAGUGAGCUCUGCUGGGAACUGCGUCCCAAAAACAGAUGGAGUUGCCUGCCCAGGACGGCCCCACCUCUGUUCUCCUACUACACAGAUGUGUGCUGAUCCUGAGGGCUGAAAGUACAUAGCCUGCUGUCUGGAGAGUUUUCUGAUCCUUCUCUGGAAAUGAUUUCAUUUAGGAAUGAGACAAAGGUACAAAGCUGGAAGCGAGGGGUGAAUUAAAUGAUUCUAAGUGGGGUCUUUCCCAACUUUCUGAGUCUGCAGCUUGGUGGUGUCUUUGUGCUGAUUUGCUUUUCCUGCCCAAAAGUGAGUUCUUAAUUCCCAGGAAUGGGGCUCCCCAGGCUAGAAGGUCAUGACCUCAGUCUUCAAAGGAGCCAGCAUGAGGACAGUUUUCGCUGGCAGCAGAGGAAGGCUCCUUUGCCAAAGUGUGUGGUCCGUUUUGGUUGCACCCACGUCCCGGUUGGUUUUCCCAGUCAGCAUGCGUCAGCUAAGAGUUAAUUAACAUUAGUUAACUGCACACUUUAUGGUGUACGGAUGGCUUUCUGGGUGUUGACAAAGAUGUAUGGUCACAUAUCGGCUGGCAAAGCCACGACACACGAUUGUCCCUUUGUCACAAAACUUCCAUCAUGCUUUGCUUCUGUCAUGGAGCCCUCUCGGCACCUGCAACCCCUGACCGUAACUCAUCUGUGCUCCAUCCCCGUUUGUUUUUCCCUUUUCAGAAUGUAUAUGAGUGGGAUCAUAGAAUAGAGAGCCUUUGAGGCCUGGAUUUUUUGCACAGUGAAAUGCGGUUCAGAUUCACCCACAUUGUUGCAUGAAUCAGUAAUUCCUCUUGUUAAUGAGCAGUGUUCCACUGUAUGGACAUACCACAGUUUGUGAAGUCAUUCCCCUCUUGAAGGACUUUGGGACUGCUUCUACUUUUUUAUGAUUACGAAAAGCUGGAUUUAUAACCUUGGACACUGGUAACCAUCAUUACCUCACAAAAUGAAACCAGUGAAGGAGUUAAUUUAUUCAAUCCCCAAGCACCCUGCUUUCCCAGCUGGCCUCCCUGGUCACCAACGGUCUUUGAAAGAAGGGAGAUGAAGGGAAAUGUGAUUACUUGACCCUAUUUGUUUUCUCACCCUGAGGGAAAGAGCAAACGGUUCUGGAAAGCAAGAGGGAGAGAGAGAGAGAGAGAGAGAGAGAGAAGCAAAAUCCCUCCUUGCUCUUGCCAGAGAGCCAUAGCAAAAUGUGAAGUUUCAAUGCUCCUUCAUGAAGGGAAGAAAAGUGCUCAGAGUGUAGAGACACAUAGAAAAUUCAGACCUCUAGGCGAUGGAAUGAAUCUGCUGGGCUUCGCUGGGCUUCUCUCUUCUGGAACACCUGCCAUCAAAUAAUGCUCCCCCCGUCCCCAAAUUGUCACAAGUUGUCCCACAAGCUAGGUCUGGUUAGAUUUUCUUGAGUCAAGUGUAGAUAGGAGGCAAUGCGAAAUACAAUGUUAAAGAAAUAACAUAAGUGAAAAAGCAAUAAUGUAAGACAACAGAGGAUAAUUGCAUAUGGAACUUUGAACUGGGAAAGUAAUCUAAGUUCUUAACUCAUUUAUUCUGGUGUAAUUUAAUAAAGGGAUGAGAAGUCUUCA